CUCUGGGAGAAGGUACAGUGGGUAGG
rnacentral:piRNA from 1 species